rnacentral:lncRNA from 1 species
AUAUAGAUCUUGAACGUCAUGAUAUGAAGUGGCAAUAAGAAAUGAGUGAACAACACUAACUCAAUAAAAAUGCCAAAAACCUUACCGCCGACAUAGUAACUAAAGGAUUAUAGAAAACUAUAAAACAACCGAUGAAGCACUCACUUUGUGUUAAAACCCAUACUGGUGCAGUCACUCCCUUCCUUUUUAUGAAAAAUAAUUUAUCACUUACUUUCUUAUUAAACAACAUCCAUGCACAAACAUUUAUAUAUGUUCAGGAAUAUAUAGUAAAAUACGAUUAAUUCUUACCAUCUUACCUAAACUAGGGUUACUUACAUUUCCAUUUUUGUCAUUUUAUUUUAUUUCCACUACCAAGAUCGCUGGUAGCCUAUAAGGAUCCCCGCUACACGUGGGUAUACAAACAUUUCAUUUGUAAAUCAUCGGUCGUCACCAUAUCUCGUCCGGUAAUGGGCAUCAUAAUAAAAAAAUCGUCUUAAUACCCCAUCCGGUAUGAGUGUGAUUAAUUAACUCCCAACUCCGUCUUGUAUGGGACCUCCCAGCUCCCUGAGACUGAGGACACGUCCACUAUAGAGUUUACCCUAUACAACAAGUCUGUACACUAUCUCAUAAGAUACUGACAAGACUUUGAUUUUCGUUCAUAUUUAGACGUGCAUUUGAUUAUUUUACACUAUUCAAAAGAUUAACGACAUGUAAAAACUUGUGCAUCACUAAAACGAGAAAUGUGCAAAUCAUGCCCUACUACUCAUCAAGGACUAAAUUGAAUUUCAACCAAAAUGAUGUAAGUGGAAUGCACGCUCUAUGAAUUGAACCAAUGCCACUAAUAAAAGUUAUGAUAAAAUAAUUAAAAUAAAACACAAAAAAUAUACGAAGUGAAAUAAUCAUUCGCAAGAUAAAUGAAACAGAAGUAAUGAAAUAAGACGAUACGAUCGACACAUCGAUUCUAAAUGAAAACAUAAAAUAAAUAGAAGGGCAGAUUGAUAAACUAAAUAGAGAUAAAAAUUGAAUGAUAAGUAAAUAUAGAAAAUGAAAACAAGGCAAAAUAAAUAUACAAAUAGAGGAUAUAUGUACAAUAAAUUAAAGUUUUGUUUUCUUCGUCGGUAAUCUAGAAGAUCGAAUUGCACAGCACAAAUUAGAAUUGAGUUCGAUUAAGUAUACACAUAUAUUAUCCACUAUUUUAUUAUUUUAUUAAGUCCAUUUUUUUAUUUAUUAUUAUUUUUGUUCGGCCUUUGGUUAACUAUUAUGAAGGGGAGGGCUUAAGCAUCCUUACCCAAUUAGGACGACGACGAUGUCGUUCCUUGCAGCUGCUGAUCGCGAUGGUGCUCUUCACUCUCGGCUUCCAUUGUUUCCUCCCUGUUUCUAUUUUAUUUUUUUAUAUAAAUGAAAAAUUAGACUGUCAGUGCAUACGAGAAGGGAAAGGGGAAAAGGGAAGGAGAACGAGCUUAUCAAAAUUGGGCCUCGACUUUCGAUUGCAGACGCGCACCUUCCCCUUCUCGGUUGCAGUUUUCUUGAGUCAUUCUAAGGCGGAAAAGGUUAAAAAGGGGUCAAGAAUUGAUA